AAUUGAACAAAAAAUGGGGUAAAUAAAACAUAUCAUUUAAAUUGAAUAUAAAUAAAGACGACGAGAGGAGGGAGCGUUCGAAGAAGUUCGCAACCGAGGUGGCAGCAGGUCGUACGCGUCAGAGUCUCAAGCUCAAGUGCCCAAACUCUCCCUGGGCAAUAAGUAUGGCGCUCUGUCACAAGAUCAAAGCUGAAAACACCGAUUAAAUCAAAAAACAUUACAUGAAUAUCGCAUCGUCGCUCUUUUUUGUUUGGUGACCCAACCUCGCCGAGAAAAUAUAUUUUCUAGACUAGGAUCACGUACCCCUAGCGCGCGUAUAUCACAGUACGCAUGUACACAUACUCCGAAGUCUAUAAGACCCGGGUAUGCCAAUUUUGGUUCUCGUCGGCAGUUUUAAAGUGAUCGUGCGACGGAUCAUCGAUCUUAGGUAUUUGCACGUGCGCUCAUGGACCUUGCGACCUUGUAACUAACUCGAAACGAAUAUCGUGCGUGUGCGCAAGCUUAUUUUCAUACCAUAUAGACACGUGGUUGGAAAUCGACUUUGAUAUUUCAUUUUCUAAUCAGCAUAGUGUGUAGAAUACACUGCUUCCAGAAAAACGUCAGAAUGUGCGGAAGAAUGUGUUCGAAUCCUCGAAAUGUACUCGAAUCCUCAAAACGACAGAUUGGAACAAUUACAUAUGCGUCAUUGUUAUGCUCAUUGUGUAGUCUAAACAAUAUUCUUCAUUAAAGUAUUUUACGUGGUAUAUUUGCACUUUCUUUUAUACAAUGCUACUUUUAAUUUAACAUACAUAUAAUUACUGCCACGAUCGAUGCCUUCUCAUUGAGUAUUGUCAUUAUAGAUAGGAUGCGUCCGUGGAAACAUUAGCGCUAUAAAUGCAAACGCUACCAACACACACACACAUAUAUAUAUAUACGUGUUAUAAAAAAAAAUAUAUAUAUAUAAAAUACACAUAUAUAACUAAUAUAUAUAAUAUAAUUCAUAUUAUAUAUAUUAGUUAUGAUGUAGUAUUUAUCAGUGAUAUGAUUGUGUUUGUUAGCGCUACCAUCCAGCUCCGCGAACAGCCUUUAGCGUUAAAUAGCGUUAAUAGCGUCUCCCCGAACGUAUCCAUAAAACAAAUCGCGUUAAUGUCCGAACACGAUAAAUUUCAAGAUCGGCAUAACAAUGUCGCGAUAUCGAAAUUCACACGAUUAGUUUUAGCUGCUCUAUGAGAACUAUUCUUCAAAUAGUUUUGAAAGAUCGCGAGAUAAAUCUUGAGCUCUCUCUUUCUUCAGUUUUGAGAGAGUGUUGCUUCGCUCAAAAUGGCAACGUAUGUCAACGAACGGAAAUUUGUAGGUAAAAAAUUAUAAUUAAGAUAUAUAUAUAUAUAUAAUAUAUAUAAUAUUAACGAGACUUUGUGCAGGGCUGGGCUUUAGAACGGCGCAAAAAUAUAAAGAUAAGAACGAAAUAACACGACCGCGAUUUGAGUGGGAGUAACGAGAUGCGAAGGGCAAAAUAGUGCAAAACACCAGUGAACAUGUCGCAAUAGUAUUGUAUACAAAAUAGAAGGGAGAAAGACACACAGACCAUACAUUAUGUUAAACAUAUAAAAAAAAUCUUAUGUACAUCUUUGUUGAUAAUUGUAUAAUUCUUUUUUUAUUGAGCUAAGAUUUUCUUUUUCGAGACGUUCAAGAGUGCGGCAAAUAUAAAUGUCAAAUCCAUUUCUUGGAAGACGGUUUCUCGUUAUUGGCGGAUUUUCCCCGGCGAGGUAACGCAUGUUGUUUUCGAGAUACAAUGAAAGGAAUGCCAUACGGAAAUGAUAGAUAAUAAUAGGAAUUCUUGUAUAGCGUGAUAAAAUGUGAUUAUUUAUAAAUAAAUUUCUUAGGAUAAUUUGUACUGCCUUUAAGCAUUUUUAAUUUGCCGCAUCGUAUAUCAUUGAUCAAUUGAUCUUUGAAGGGAAAAGAAGCGCAAUGCGCUCAGGUACUCGCGAACACCUUAGCCGACCGUCUUUCCGAGAACGUAAUCUCCGUCAACAGAAACACGUAGGCUUUUUUAAUAAACAGCGCCAAAAGAUAUUAAACUUGAGCACGCGCGUCGUGAAGAUACAGCAUCGGUGCCUCUCAAGAAUAGUUUCGAAAUAAUUUUGGUCGCCGCGAAAUACUAGCCUGCCCUUUGUUACAGAAUAGUUGAGAAAUUACACACUAAUUUUAUUAUUACUGUUAUACAUGAGAGCGAGCGAUGGAAUGAUAGGAAGUGAGAGUGCGCGAAAGUAUGGGGUGUGAGCAUAUUUAAUAAAACUCAAUCAUCAAGAUA